UUGAACGCUGGCGGCAUGCCUUACACAUGCAAGUCGAACGGCAGCACGGGAGCAAUCCUGGUGGCGAGUGGCGAACGGGUGAGUAAUAUAUCGGAACGUGCCCGGUCGUGGGGGAUAACGUAGCGAAAGCUACGCUAAUACCGCAUACGAUCUACGGAUGAAAGCGGGGGAUCGCAAGACCUCGCGCGAUUGGAGCGGCCGAUAUCUGAUUAGCUAGUUGGUGAGGUAAAGGCUCACCAAGGCGACGAUCAGUAGCUGGUUUGAGAGAACGACCAGCCACACUGGAACUGAGACACGGUCCAGACUCCUACGGGAGGCAGCAGUGGGGAAUUUUGGACAAUGGGGGCAACCCUGAUCCAGCAAUGCCGCGUGAGUGAAGAAGGCCUUCGGGUUGUAAAGCUCUUUUGUCAGGGAAGAAACGGUGAUUUCUAAUACAGAUUGCUAAUGACGGUACCUGAAGAAUAAGCACCGGCUAACUACGUG
rnacentral:rRNA from 1 species